CCUACGGGAGGCAGCAGUGGGGAAUAUUGCACAAUGGGCGAAAGCCUGAUGCAGCGACGCCGCGUGAGGGAUGACGGCCUUCGGGUUGUAAACCUCUUUCAGCAGGGAAGAAGCGCAAGUGACGGUACCUGCAGAAGAAGCACCGGCUAACUACGUGCCAGCAGCCGCGGUAAUACGUAGGGUGCGAGCGUUGUCCGGAAUUAUUGGGCGUAAAGAGCUCGUAGGCGGUCUGUCGCGUCGGAUGUGAAAGCCCGGGGCUUAACCCCGGGUCUGCAUUCGAUACGGGCAGACUAGAGUGUGGUAGGGGAGAUCGGAAUUCCUGGUGUAGCGGUGAAAUGCGCAGAUAUCAGGAGGAACACCGGUGGCGAAGGCGGAUCUCUGGGCCAUUACUGACGCUGAGGAGCGAAAGCGUGGGGAGCGAACAGGAUUAGAUACCCUGGUAGUCCACGCCGUAAACGUUGGGAACUAGGUGUUGGCGACAUUCCACGUCGUCGGUGCCGCAGCUAACGCAUUAAGUUCCCCGCCUGGGGAGUACGGCCGCAAGGCUAAAACGUCAAAUGAAUUGACGG
rnacentral:rRNA from 1 species